rnacentral:rRNA from 1 species
UACGAAGGGGGCUAGCGUUACUCGGAUUGACUGGGCGUAAAGGGCGCGUAGGCGGUUUGUACAGUCAGACGUGAAAUUCCUGGGCUCAACCUGGGGGCUGCGUUUGAUACGUGCAGACUUGAGUUCGGAAGAGGGUCGUGGAAUUCCCAGUGUAGAGGUGAAAUUCGUAGAUAUUGGGAAGAACACCGGUGGCGAAGGCGGCGACCUGGUCCGAUAUUGACGCUGAGGAGCGAAAGCGUGGGGAGCGAACAGG